UGGCCUAUGGUGUAAUUGGCAGCACGACUGAUUCUGGUUCAGUUAGUCUUGGUUCGAGUCCAGGUAGGCCAG
rfam:Streptomyces clavuligerus ATCC 27064 chromosome, whole genome shotgun sequence.